GGGCUCGUGGUCUAGUCGGUUAUGACGUUGCCUUCACACGGCAGAGGUCCUGCGUUCGAAUCGCAGCGAGCCCA
rnacentral:tRNA from 2 species